rnacentral:rRNA from 1 species
UGGACGAAAGUCUGACCGAGCAACGCCGCGUGAGUGAAGAAGGUUUUCGGAUCGUAAAGCUCUGUUGUAAGUCAAGAACGUGUGUGAGAGUGGAAAGUUCACACAGUGACGGUAGCUUACCAGAAAGGGACGGCUAACUACGUGCCAGCAGCCGCGGUAAUACGUAGGUCCCGAGCGUUGUCCGGAUUUAUUGGGCGUAAAGGGAGCGCAGGCGGUCAGGAAAGUCUGGAGUAAAAGGCUAUGGCUCAACCAUAGUGUGCUCUGGAAACUGUCUGACUUGAGUGCAGAAGGGGAGAGUGGAAUUCCAUGUGUAGCGGUGAAAUGCGUAGAUAUAUGGAGGAACACCAGUGGCGAAAGCGGCUCUCUGGUCUGUCACUGACGCUGAGGCUCGAAAGCGUGGGUAGCGAACAGGAUUAGAUACCCUGGUAGUCCACGCCGUAAACGAUGAGUGCUAGGUGUUAGGCCCUUUCCGGGGCUUAGUGCCGGAGCUAACGCAAUAAGCACUCCGCCUGGGGAGUACGACCGCAAGGUUGAAACUCAAAGGAAUUGACGGGGGCCCGCACAAGCGGUGGAGCAUGUGGUUUAAUUCGAAGCAACGCGAAGAACCUUACCAGGUCUUGACAUCCCGAUGCUAUUCUUAGAGAUAGGAAGUUACUUCGGUACAUCGGAGACAGGUGG